CAGCAGCCGCGGUAAUACGUAGGGUGCGAGCGUUGUCCGGAAUUAUUGGGCGUAAAGAGCUUGUAGGCGGUCUGUCGCGUCUGCUGUGAAAACCCGAGGCUCAACCUCGGGCCUGCAGUGGGUACGGGCAGACUAGAGUGCGGUAGGGGAGAACGGAACUCCUGGUGUAGCGGUGGAAUGCGCAGAUAUCAGGAAGAACACCGAUGGCGAAGGCAGUUCUCUGGGCCGUAACUGACGCUGAGAAGCGAAAGCGUGGGGAGCGAACAGGAUUAGAUACCCGUGUAGUCCCUGUCUCUUAUAC
rnacentral:rRNA from 1 species